rnacentral:rRNA from 1 species
UACGAAGGGGCUAGCGUUGUUCGGAAUCACUGGGCGUAAAGGGCGCGUAGGCGGCUUUAUAAGUCGGGGGUGAAAGCCUGUGGCUCACCACAGAAUUGCCUUCGAUACUGUAGAGCUUGAGACCGGAAGAGGUAAGUGGAACUGCGAGUGUAGAGGUGAAAAUUCGUAGAUAUUCGCAAGAACACCAGUGGCGAAGGCGGCUUACUGGUCCGGUACGUGAACGCUGAGGUGCGAAAGCGUGGG